UACGGAGGGUGCAAGCGUUAUCCGGAUUCACUGGGUUUAAAGGGUGCGUAGGUGGGCAGGUAAGUCAGUGGUGAAAUCUCCGGGCUUAACCCGGAAACUGCCAUUGAUACUAUCUGUCUUGAAUACCGUGGAGGUGAGCGGAAUAUGUCAUGUAGCGGUGAAAUGCUUAGAUACGACAUAGAACACCAAUUGCGAAGGCAGCUCACUACGCGAAUAUUGACACUGAGGCACGAAAGCGUGGGGAUCAAACAGG
rnacentral:rRNA from 1 species